GUUGCAGUAAGCCACAAAAUUACUUAUCAAAAACAUAGUUUAAUUUACAAAAUCACUAAACCAAUUAACAUUUUUCAAAACCUAGCAAGUGUAAGGUAGACAGGAUUCAAGAAAGAAGCAUACAAAUUAAAAUGUGAUUUUAAAGAAGCACUUAAAUUUGAAGAACAAAGGCCCAUUACAAUAAAAUACUGGAGAAACCAAAUUUCUAGUUUGAAUAAAUGACACCAACUCAUGACUCCCAUGAAAGAAAGAAAAGAAUAGGGGAAAAAAACUCCUUUACUGAUCCUUGAAAAAAUAUAGAAUAUCUGCACACUAAAAGAGUGGUGUAGCAUUAGCAAUUUUGACAACAAAUAUUGGGUACAUUGCAGGAAUAGGAUGAACCAAACAGUAGAUUUUCAAUGAACUUGGUCAGUCAAUUCGGUAAAAGGGGUUCAAGAAUUGAUGGUUCUAAUUUAAAAAAAGUAGAUCUGC
rnacentral:misc_RNA from 1 species